GUCAGACGUCGCGGCGCUUCCCGCGGCGGAGCGGGCACGGCAGGCACCGGGGCUCCCGGGGAGGCAGGCACCUUCACCUCCUCUGCCCUCAACUGUCGCCUUCUUCCUCCUCCGCUCCUCUUACCGGUGGUACAAGCUCCUCCGUCACUGCUUUCGUUCGCGGCCCGGAUCUCGCUGGAGUUUUAUUCUCUCCCCCACGUAACACACCGCGUCAAACUACACCUCCGCCGCGUCACUCACCAACACUCCGCUUCUCCCAGCCGCCCGGGCCACAGGCAGCAGCAGCCGCCGCCGACUGAGGAGCCGCAGCCAGGGAGCCAGCCAGCGCCGCCCAGUGCCGAGUGCGCAGCGGCCGCGCACGGAAACAGCCGAGCCCGGCCCGGAGGAGCUCGAGCGGCCCCGCCCCCCCGCGCCGCAGGCGGAACUUGCCGAAGGCCUUCGGGCGCCUCCGGCCGAGCGGGGUGGCGGCCGGGGUUCGCGAGCGGAGCGGCGCGGGAGGCGUGGCCCGAGCCCCACCUCGCGGGCCGCGCGGCUGCAGCCCCGCGGCGGAAAUCGGCGGCAGGAAGGCGGCUUCGCGAGUGUGGCCCGCUGGGGGAAUUCCCCGGGGGUGUCGGCGGCUGGGUGGAAACCCCCCGCGGCUGCCUGCCCCCCCCCGCCCCCGUCCCCUGCGGCGGGCCCGGCCUGAGCCCCGGGAACUUUGGAAGGCUGCGGGGCCGCGGCCGAGCGAGCCGGGAGGAGGGGCGGCGGGGGCUCUGCAAUCGUCCCGGAGCCUGCGGGCUCGGGGCGGCGGGGGCUCUGCAAACGUCCCGGAGCCUGCGGCCUGCGGGCCGGGGCUCGGGGCCCCGCGCUGCCCGCGCCGAGGGGCGCCCGGGAGGGGAGGGUUUGCGCGGCCCCGCGGCCCCUCCUCUCCGAGAGUCAGCGCGGGGAGACCUGGGGGCCGCCCGCCCGGCUCCUCCACCUCGGGGCGUGCGGGGGCGGGGGCCCCGGGGCGCCUUGCGGGGUGCAGCCCGGCGGCCCAGCGGCCGGGGCGGUGGAGGACCCGGUCCGCCCUCGGGGGCCUCCGAGCGAGGACCGGUCCUGACCGAGGUUGCUCUGGGACCCUCCGAAGUAUGACCCCCCCCCCCCCGCCCUCACUCCCCACCUGCCCGCCGGCCCGCCUUUUUUUUUUUUUUUUUUUUUUCUUUUUUUCUUUUUUUCCUGGCACCGCCGGGUCGCUGGCUCUUCAGCGCCGUUUCCCCCUCUGGUUUGCACCCACGGCGCCCGUUUCUUCACCACCCACUCCCACUCCAAAGCCGACAGUGUGACUAACGUUCCCUCGACUACUGAAACUGCUUUCUCAGAGGUUGCCCAAGGCCACGAUUCUGACUCUUUUUUUUUUUUCCUUUUUAAAGACUUUAUUUAUUUAUUCAUGAGAGACACAGAGAGAGAGCGGCGGAGGCAGAGACACAGACAGAGGGAGAAGCAGGCUCCAUGCAGGGAGCCCGACGUGGGACUCGAUCCCGGGACCCCAGGAUCAUGCUCCGGGCCGAAGGUGGCGCUAACCCCCCUGAGCCACUCAGGGACCCCCUGACUCUUCUUAUUGAACUCUGUAGUCCUCUCCCUGGGCUCUCAGGUCUAUUAUAAUUCUCCUCCUGUGCUUUAAAGCAAACCUGCAAGCACACGGAGAGGACCCAGAGGGUUCAAAUCUGCCAGAGCCCCACCCCUUAUUGGCUUCCUGUUACAAAGCGGCGUUGCUCUUUCUGGUGCUCCAGAUCCGCCUUCUGCUUCCUCGGGGACUUUGGGCUGAAGAGGAUCCCUCUCUCCUGCUGUUGUAUUCAGUCCUUCCUUCACUGCUGGCUUUUCCGUCUAUUACUUGAACAUGCUCAAGUCUCUCGUUUGUUUGAAAAUACCUUUCUCCUUCAAUCGUUCUCCAGCGGGGCCUCUUACCCAGUGCACGUCCUCACGUGUCCCAUUCCCCAGCCCUCUCCUGUCUAGCUUCUGUUCUUACCACUCACCUGAAGCUGUUCUGAAUUGUCACAUACAAGCUUCAGUCCUCACCUUACAAAACCUCAUUCUAGCAUUUGAAACUAUUGACCACAUCCUCAUUGGAAUAUUCUCUUCUCUCUGCUCUUAUUUGAAAGUUUUCCUCUUAUUUUUCUGAUUGUUUUUUAUUUUUUUAAAAAGAUUUUAUUUAUUUGAGAGACAGGGCAUGAGGGGGAGGGGGCUCCCUCACUGAGCAGGGAGCCCAGUGUGGGGCUCCAUCCCGAGACCCGGAGAUCAUGACCUUGAGCAGAAGGCAGACCCGUAUCUGACUGAACCACCCAGGUGCCCCUCUCGUUUAUCCAGAUAUUGGAAUCCUGCUGAGCUGAGCUGAGCCCUCAUGUACACUUUUCUCCACUGUCUCAUCCUCGUCCAGCAGAUUCCAGUACCCUCUGCCAAAGACUGUCCAACCCAUAACUCAAGCCUAGAUCUUGGUCUUGAACUCUGAAUUCAUAUUUCUAACUGGCUUUGCAACACUUUCAUUUGGAUGACUGGGCCAUGUCAAACACAACCUGUAUAACUUAUUCCCUCCAAAAUCCUCUUCCCAUAACCUUUUGAUCCGUUAUGGGCAUCCUAUCCAUCUACUCAGUUCAAGCAAGAAACUUAAGAUACAUCUGUUAUUUUUUUAACUUUAUUUUAAAAUUUUGGUUACAGUUUCAUUUUUGUUUUCUUAACAAGUCUACUGUUUAAUCUCUCAGGAUUAAAAAAACAGUUAUUAAGAAUUCUAAAGAAUUAACAAAGGAAUGUCAAGGGAAGGGCACAACUGCCCCAUUCUCUGGGGUCUAAGAGCUAUUCCAGUUUAACACCUAGCUUCAAAACAAAAUGAAUUUUUAUAUUUUCUAAAUGAAAUAAUGUACAACCACCGUCUUCUAACUUUCAAACACAAAGCUUCAUUUUAAGCUGGUAAAAAAACUUUUAAUAGGAAUGAUGGCCGACCUUGGUAUGUAGUGUGUACCUUACAGGAAAUUUUUUUUAACAAUCAUAACACAGUAAUAAUGCCAUUAAUGAAGUCCUCAAUUUAGAAUCUGCAACAUUCUUCCAUCAAGGGGGGACUCAUUCAGUCCAAUGAGUCUGUCUCAAGAUCUUCAUCUCUUGUUUGCUCCACUUGUAUUCUCUUUUCAAAGAUACAUCUUUGAAAAGAGAUACAUCCGAAUCACCUAGACUUGGGUUUGUGGGGUGCCUGGGUGGCUCAGUCGUUUUAGUGUCUGACUCUUGAUUUCGGCUCAGAUCGUAAUGAUCUCAGGGUCAUGGGAAAAUUAUACCUUCCCCACAUUAUACCACAUUGGGCUCCUUGCUCAGUGCUGAGUCUGCUUGAGAUUCUCUCCCACUCCUUCUGCCCCUCCCUGCCUUGUGCUCUCUCUCUCUAAAAUAAAAUAUUAAAAAAAAAUAAAAAAUUGGAUUUGUUGUCUUUCCUAUGGCUACUUUUCAUAUUCUAGUAUAAAUAACCUUCAUCUUUUGAAGUCCUGCAGUAAUUACUAUCUAGGUCCAACAGAAAUGCUUUUGGCUUGCUCCAAUCCAUUUGCCAUGUUGUAGCCAGAGUAAUUAAAAAAAAAAAAUCUGAUCAAGUGACUACUCUGCUUGAAUUCUUUUAAUGGCUUCCCUUUGCUUACUGAAAAUAGUCUAAGCUCCUUAUCAUGGACACCAGACCCUCUAACAUAUGGGCUUCUCAUUCUCCCCAGCUUCCCCAACUGUCUCCCUACCUCUCAGCACUCCAGCCAUAUUAGUCUUUUUAAGUUUUCUAGGCUCUUUUUCUCUCUCUUUUAUUCUCCCCCUACCUGUAGGCUCUCAUCUCAAGGUACUUACAGAUGUUGUUCCCCUCCUCUGGAAUUCUUUUCUGCUACCCACCUCCCCUACUAAACUGUAACUUCUCACUUUCUUUUCUGACUCAACAUACAUAAGGUUUGUGCAGGUAGGGAUUUUGUCUGCUUGUUUACCACCAGCUUUUCCCUUCCCCUCCCAUUCCUAGCACCAGCCCAAUUUCUAGAAUGUAGAAUGUAGACCACUACAUGUCUCUUGACAUGAAUAAAUAAUAAAUAUGUGUGGUCCUGGGCAAAGUUCCUUAAUAUCUUGGGGUUCAAAUCCUGGCUCAGCCACUUACUAGCUUUGUGGCACUGGGCAAAUUGUUCGUUCUUGUCUGUCAGUUUUCCCAUCUGUAAAAUAAAGAUGAGAAUAGCACCUACAUCAUCGUGUUAUUGUGAUGAGUACAUAAGACCAUUAAUGGAAUGUGUUCUUGGAACAAUGUUUGGUGUGUAAUAAGUUGAUUAAAAUGUUGUCUGUUACUCACUUUUACUUGUAUAUCUCACCCUUGUGUCAAAUACAUUUUCAAAAUUGAGAUUAUCAUCUUGCUCUUCUUCUUAUCCUAUACAUGAUACCAAAUUCUUGGAAUUAUUUACUCAUAGCCUAUUUUUAUCACCAUCAAAAUGGUAAUUUUUUUUAUUUCAAAAUUUCCUCAUAUUCUUCCUGUCUGUUCACACUGACCUUCAAUUAGGGCCUAUCUCUUCAUAUCUUACUUUGCUAACUUCCUAGAUAUGUUCUGACUGCAGACCCAGUUCCUUAUUCUCUUGUGCCCUACCACCAGACCUAUGGGUUCCAAACAGUUAUUAAACGGUGUAUCCUUGAAUUUGCUCUCUUGGCCUCAGUUCUCACCUAAUUUUGUUCAUUCACUCAUGCAUUCAAUCAUCCAUUCAUGCAAGUGCAAGUUACUUUACUCCAGAUUUGAAAUGGAGUCUCCUGAUUUCACCUAUUUUUCUCUAGCAUCUCCAUGAACCAUGAAAACAAAUGGAAAUGUCAAACUUCCAGCAUCCAUUUUUUGUGUGUGUCUGGGACUUGGAAGCUACCAUUAUUUUUGACUCAAUUGUACCCCUGGAAAAUAUGAUCAAUAUUGGGAAAAGUAGAGAACAGCACAUGGAUAUAACCUGAUUUAGUAUAUGAUAG
rnacentral:lncRNA from 1 species